GCCUACGGGAGGCAGCAGUAGGGAAUCUUCCACAAUGGACGAAAGUCUGAUGGAGCAACGCCGCGUGAGUGAAGAAGGGUUUCGGCUCGUAAAGCUCUGUUGGAAGUGAAGAAAGGUGGAGGUAGUAACUGGCCUUUAUUUGAUGGUAAUUACUUAGGAAGUCACGGCUAACUACGUGCCAGCAGCCGCGGUAAUACGUAGGUGGCAAGCGUUGUCCGGAUUUAUUGGGCGUAAAGGGAG
rnacentral:rRNA from 1 species